ensembl:rRNA 5S_rRNA 5S ribosomal RNA
GCCACCAGCCAUGUCACCCUGCAACUUACAAUUGGCAGCCCACUGAAGCUAAGCAGGUGUGAGCCUGGUCAGUACCUGGAUGGGAGACCUCCUGGGAAAAACUAAGGUUGCUGCUGGAA